ACCUCUCCUUCUCCUCCUUCCCGAGCCGCACCAAGCGCCGCUACCAUCUGAGGUCGCACGGAGCAGCGCCGGUGCCCUACCGCCGAUGCCUCGCCGAAUUUCUUCUCCUCGGUGCCAGCCACUAAGCUCCCUAUUGAUCGGCCAACCGAACCCUAGGUCUGGUCCUUGGGCACUUGCUGAAGCUUCCUUCCUCCUCGUGCCACAGAUAUGGAGCGAUGACUGCCUUGCUUCUGCCCUGUACGUCGCUUCCCCUGGUGACACUGUGCCCUAGAUCGCCGGAAGUUAAGAGCUUGAGAAGGCGACAGAGGGUAGCAAUAAUCGGGCAGUGGGAUUGAAGAUUCAUUGCAACGGUGGUGUAUCUGGUUUUUCAGCGGCUGCCCCAAUUUCCGACAGCAACUACCUAUUGUGGACCAACAUAAGAAGUUUAGUGUUGAGCUUUGGCUGUGUUCGCUGUCAGCCAUUUCUUCAGCCACAGAAGACCACCAACAGCUAGUCUUGAGGGGUGUCUCAGUUAGACACAAGGAGUUCCCACCGUUGAGGACUGUGACGUAAGAUGAGCAACUCGACGUUGGAUUUGGAUCGGAUACGACCCUUUCUAUUGGAGGCGGGU